CCCGGUCCCCGGAUGAAAGGCAGGGGGCGGUCCAUGAAGCCAGCUCAAAGAGGCGGCAGAGGAGUAAGGAGUUCGGCGUCACCCGCCUCGUUAGGCUUGGCAAGUACCAGAAGGCUCAUUGAGAUUUCCUGUGGUUUAUGACCCAAGUUGACAACUGUGACUUCUUCUUUGUGGCGUUCUGAUGGUUAUGUCGUAUAAGAAUCACCUUAUAUCAUUUGAGAAGCUGCUGACACGGAGCACUGGUUUGAUGGAUGACCUGAGCGGCUGCUGUUCCCAUCAGAGCGCACUUACACAUCCAUUAUUGUGUUGAAGACACCCACACAACUCCUCUGCUAUUGGGACGUCCCGAGCGCGCGGCAGUUUCAUAAAUGCCAGGUUCCGAGCAUUGCGUGGGAAAGUGCAGCGGCGCAGUAAAGCAUCGCCUGGCCUUUUGGCAAUCACCAGAUUAUUACAUUUUAAAGCAACCUGCAACCAGGAGAAUGUGGCACCUUACAAAAGGCAGCUUCCCCCAGCACCCACUAAAACAGCCUCGUAACAGAGUGGCAGAGCCCUUCUCCAUGCUGACAUCUCUUGGUCUACCCUAUUCAGGUAAUUUGGUGGCUAGUGUCACUGGGUGGGGUACUUCCCUGCGACAAGCUUCCCCAGGUCCUUUCUUAGGCAGCUUUGCAGCAAAGUGCCACCAUGAGGAUACCUGGCUCAACCAGCUAUUCCUAAUAAUCCAGAGGGAAAUUUUCCAAUGAAUCCUACCAACAUAGAACCUCAGGAAACAUCUUUGCUAUCCCUUGAGCUGUGGCUGUGCCCUCUAACUAGACCUGUAUUUUCGUUCUGGAGUCUGUUUGUGAGCUCUUUCUCACUCCCGGGGGUAGUGGCUGCUGCUUACAUCUGCUACUUUGUAUUCUUUAGACUUCUCUUUUCCUCUUAGCAGCCAGUGCCCCACUACUCCAGACUUUUGCUGAUAAUACCUCUGGUACAUUGAAUUAUGGCCCCCGAAGAGAGCCACAUUCUAGUCCCUGCAACCUGUGAUUAUGUUACCU
rnacentral:lncRNA from 1 species